rnacentral:rRNA from 1 species
UACGUAGGGGGCGAGCGUUGUCCGGAGUUACUGGGCGUAAAGCGCACGCAGGCGGUCUGCUAAGUUUUGGAGUGACAGUUGGUGGCUUAACUGCCAAAGUGCUUCGAAAACUGACAGACUUGAGGGCUUCAGAGGGACACGGAAUUCCGGGUGGAGUGGUGAAAUGCGUAGAGAUCCGGAGGAACACCAAAGGCGAAGGCAGUGUCCUGGGGAGUACCUGACGCCUCAGGUGCGGAAAGCCAGGGGAGCGAACGGG